GUUUUCCUAAUUUUUCACUGUUUGGAUUCAAUUUGAUUUGAAAAUAUUUCUGACGAAAAAUAACUUACACCGAAGAAGGAAAAUAGCGUCCUUUACUUUCUUAAAAUCACGGCCUCUUCUUUUCAUAGCUUUCACAGGAUUGAAGACCAAUGAUUGAAAACCCAUCGGCAAACCAAUUCCUUCUUCACUGGCAGCAUCUCCAGUUCCGGCGAAAACCCAUUUCCAGAGCCACAACGGUUCAUCCCCGCUCGGGCAGCGACAUCUCAUCCCCAUUCCUGCAACAGCAUUUCCAACAAGGGCAAAGACUCCUCAAAUAUUUCCAGAGCCAUGAAUGAUGACUUAUUCAAUCUGCGAUCAUAGAGUAGAAGAGCAUCCUCAUAAAUUUGUCCGAUUUUGCUGGCAAAUUUGCAUGUGGGUCUUCUCGUACACUAGCUUUUGAGAAGGUUAAUUUGCUGCAGUGAUUUAUAUGGUAGUGCAGUUCUUUGGAGAUGACAAAAAAAAUUGGUGAUCAAGCUGGCAAAAUGUUCGAAUAUUUUGGGACUUUCUUGAGAAAAGGUAUUUUUUCAGUUCUUUCGGUUGGACCUGUUCCUGAUCACAUUGCAUUUAUUAUGGAUGGAAAUCGAAGAUACGCUAAGAAGAGGAAUUUGUUAGAUGGUGCUGGCCAUAGGUCUGGGUAUUUAGCUCUCAUGAACAUGCUUAAAUACUGUUAUGAGUUAGGUGUGAAGUAUGUUACAAAUUACGCCUUCAGCAUUGACAAUUUUAGAAGACGUCCUGAAGAAGUUCAGUCCACUAUGUAGUUGAUACUAGAGAAAAUUGAAAAUUUGAUUAAGGAGGAGAGCAUGGUCAAUCAGAACGGCGUUAGGAUUUACUUUCUAGGUAGUCUUAAACUUUUGAGCAAGCCUAUAAGGUUGGCCGCAGAGAGGGCCAUGGUUGCUACUUCUGGGAAUUCAAAAUCUGUGCUGUCAAUUUGUCUUGCCUACACUUCCUCAGAUGAAAAUUUGCAUGCUGUUCAAGAGUGUUGUGAAGAAAAAUGGGAUGAAGGGAGUGCAUUGGAGUCAAAAGGAGCUGGAAAUGGUUUUGUUUUUCUGAAAGGAAACAAGAAUGGCAAGAUCAAGCCUUCAAUCGUAGUCAAGGAUUUAGAGAAACAUAUGUAUGCUGCAGUUACACCUGAUCCUGAUAUAAUUAUAUGUACUUUUGGUGAGACUCGAUUGAGUAACUUUCUUUUGUGGCAAAGUGCUAACUGUCUUUUAUAUGCACCCCCUAUACUUUGGCCAGAGAUUGGUCUUUGGCAUUUGGUUUGGGUGGUCUUGGAUUUUCAAAGAAAUUUCUCUUAUUUGAAGGAGAAAACUAAGCUAUCAUAAGUUAGUUGGUAAGAGUUUUGUUACUAUUUUUGUAACUCAUUAUAUGGUUUUGUUGAUUGGUCUUUUAACUGAUUUCCACUUUCAUGAGACAAAAACAAACAGGGGACAGAAUUUUGUUUUUGUGUCCCUGUCCUCAAUAUAGUGAUGACACAUUUCACA